GUGUCAGCCGCGCGCGGUAAAACCAGCACCUCGAGUGGUCAGGAGGUUUAUUGGGCAUAAAGCAUCCGUAGCCGGUUGCAUAAGUUUUCGGUUAAAUCUAUGCGCUUAACGUAUAGGCCGCCGAAAAUACUGUGCAGCUAGGGAGUGGGAGAGGUACACGGUACUCGAUAGGAAGGGGUAAAAUCCUUUGAUCUAUUGAUGACCACCUGUGGCGAAGGCGGUGUACCAGAACACGUUCGACGGUGAGGGAUGAAAGCUGGGGGAGCAAACCGGAUUAGAUACCCGGGUAGUCCCAGCUGUAAACGAUGCAGACUCGGUGAUGCAUUGGCUUGUGGCCAAUGCAGUGCCGCAGGGAAGCCGUUAAGUCUGCCGCCUGGGAAGUACGUACGCAAGUAUGAAACUUAAAGGAAUUGGCGGGGGAGCACCACAAGGGGUGAAGCCUGCGGUUCAAUUGGAGUCAACGCCAGAAAUCUUACCUGGGGCGACAGCAGAAUGAAGGUCAAGCUGAAGACUUUACCAGACAAGCUGAGAGGUGGUGCAUGGCCGUCGCCAGCUCGUGCCGUGAGAUGUCCUGUUAAGUCAGGUAACGAGCGAGACCCCUGCGUCUAGUUGCUACCAUUACUCUCUGGAGUAGUGGAGCGAAUUAGACGGACCGCCACAGUUAAUGUGGAGGAAGGAAGGGGCCACGGCAGGUCAGUAUGCCCCGAAACCCUAGGGCUACACGCGGGCUGCAAUGGUAUUGACAAUGUGUUCCGAAUCCGAAAGGAGGAGGCAAUCAUUAAACGAUACCUCAGUUAUGACUGAGGGCUGUAACUCGCCCUCACGAAUAUGGAAUCCCUAGUAACCGCGCGUCACUACCGCGCGGUGAAUACGUCCCUGCUCCUUGCACACACCGCCCGUCAAAU
rnacentral:rRNA from 1 species